UACAGAGGUCUCAACCGUUGUUCGGAUUCAUUGGGCGUAAAGGGUGCGUAGGCGGUCGGGUAAGUCGGAUGUGAAAUCUCAGGGCUCAACCCUGAAACUGCAUUCGAUACUGCUUGGCUAGGGUACUGGAGAGGAGACUGGAAUUCUCGGUGUAGCGGUGAAAUGCGUAGAUAUCGAGAGGAACACCUGCGGCGAAGGCGGGUUGCUGGGCUGACACUGACGCUGACAGCGCGAAAGCUAGGGGAGCGAACGGG
rnacentral:rRNA from 1 species